rnacentral:lncRNA from 1 species
UCCAUCAUCCACAUUCUCAAUCCAUUCCUUGCUGCUGCUGCUGUUAUUGUUGUCUCUUGUAGACUCCACGAAUCUGUCACUUUCUGGAGUUAAACUGAAGUGUCGAAGUCCCUGAGCUUUCCUGCUCUCGACGACCGUGCUUGAUCGUUGAUCGUUCUCUAAGAGCUUCGACCAGAUAUCAGACUCACCCUUGACGAAAACUUGGUGUGAAUUUGCCUCAUUGUGACACCGCUGUGAAGAAGUAGAAGAAUUUGAAGUAGUAGCAGAAGAAGAAGAAGAAGCAGACGCAAAGAUGGGCUGCGGAGGUGAGGAAGGUGAUGGCGGAGCCUCGAAGUUCAACUGGUCUUGGGUCGGAAAGAAAACUUAAGCAAAGUUUCGCAGCUUCGAAUCUCAUCUGUGAAGACUAUCGCCGCCGAAGGCAUGAUUCUGUACAUAGUGUGAUACCUGGGGAAUGAGCAUACUUCGGUGUAAAGACGAAUCGGAAGAAGUAGAGAAAAGGAAAGAAAAAAGAGAAAAACACACGGUUCAUGAAUUCACUAGAAGAUCUCCAGCUCAUUCGAGCAAGAAUCAUGAAUCGAGGUCUUCAUUCCUUUCGUUUUUUUAAGGCUCGGCGAUAAAUGGAUGUCGGCGAACUGUAAAACUGCCAGUUUUGAACUUCGAAACAUCGUUUUUGUGAAGUCGGACACCCUCGAACGGCGUGGCUUUUGCCGACUAGGCCAUCGAGGUUAGGCGCCUAGUUUUUGUACAUUUUGUAGAUACAAAGAUUAUUUUGAUCUCUUACGAUUACUUGUUGAUUAUUACUCGAGAAUGUUAGCCAUCCCUAUUACCAUCUUGGUGGGAGAAAGUGAGCAUCAUUCGGAUUACCUCGUAAAUCUUCUCAUGUUUGCUGUGUCCUGGCUGUGUUGGUGAUGCAAUGACCGUAAAUUUCAAAUUGUCUG